rnacentral:rRNA from 1 species
UACAGAGGGUGCGAGCGUUUAAUCGGAAUUACUGGGCGUAAAGCGCGCGUAGGCGGCUUUGCAAGCCGGAUGUGAAAUCCCCGGGCUUAACCUGGGAACUGCAUUCGGGACUGCAUUGCUAGAGUAUGGGAGAGGGAAGUGGAAUUUCAGGUGUAGCGGUGAAAUGCGUAGAUAUCUGAAGGAACAUCAGUGGCGAAAGCGACUUCCUGGACCAAUACUGACGCUCAUGUGCGAAAGCGUGGGGAGCAAACAGG